rnacentral:rRNA from 1 species
GAUGAACGCUAGCGGCAGGCCUAAUACAUGCAAGUCGAGCGGCAGCGCGUCCGACCACCCUCGGGUGGUCGGAUGGCGGCGAGCGGCGGACGGGUGAGGAAUGCAUCGGAAUCUGCCUCGUUGUGGGGGAUAACGUAGGGAAACUUACGCUAAUACCGCAUACGACCUACGGGUGAAAGUGGGGGACCUUCGGGCCUCACGCGAUGAGAUGAGCCGAUGCCGGAUUAGCUAGUUGGCGGGGUAAAGGCCUACCAAGGCGACGAUCGGUAGCUGGUCUGAGAGGAUGAUCAGCCACACUGGGACUGAGACACGGCCCAGACUCCUACGGGAGGCAGCAGUGGGGAAUAUUGGACAAUGGGCGCAAGCCUGAUCCAGCAAUGCCGCGUGGAUGAAGAAGGUCUUCGGAUUGUAAAGUCCUUUCGACGGGGACGAUGAUGACGGUACCCGUAGAAGAAGCCCCGGCUAACUUCGUGCCAGCAGCCGCGGUAAAGUGUGACG